AACGAACGCUGGCGGCAUGCCUAACACAUGCAAGUCGAACGGGAUCCUAGCUUGCUAGGUGAGAGUGGCGGACGGGUGAGUAACACGUGGGAAUCUGCCUUUUGGUUCGGGAUAACCGCGGGAAACUGCGGCUAAUACCGAAUGCCCUCGAGAGAGGAAAGAUUUAUCGCCAGAAGAGGAGCCCGCGUCCGAUUAGGUAGUUGGUGGGGUAAAGGCCUACCAAGCCGACGAUCGGUAGCUGGUCUGAGAGGAUGAUCAGCCACACUGGGACUGAGAUACGGCCCAGACUCCUACGGGAGGCAGCAGUGGGGAAUAUUGGACAAUGGGCGAAAGCCUGAUCCAGCAAUGCCGCGUGAGUGAUGAAGGCCUUAGGGUUGUAAAGCUCUUUUACCCGAGAUGAUAAUGACAGUAUCGGGAGAAUAAGCUCCGGCUAACUCCGUGCCAGCAGCCGCGGUAAU
rnacentral:rRNA from 1 species